AACUCCCCUCCCGCUCAGUGCCCGCCGCUGCUGGGCCGGCUGCCCGGCGCCGUGCGUGCGCCCCGCACCCGAGCUGCCACACGGGGUGGGGGGAGUGCCUGCCUGCCUCGCUCGGCCCUAGCCGAGGCUCCCCUGCUGGUUCAGCUCCGCCUUGCCCUCUUCUGCAGCCGCUGGAAGCGCCUGGGGGCUUUGGGACCGGACAGCGGCUCUGCCUCCCGCCCGCGCGUGGCGCGGCCGUGAGUGUCAAGUGCGGGGCUCGCUCUGCAAAGCGAGAUCUACUUCAUAAAGAGUUGCUGAGUGCAGCUUUGAAGGGCAAUAGUUGUAUCAUGCUAACCUAGGGGCUGAUCCUAAGAAACACUUAAGUAGGAGUUAUUGCGAAGAAAAAUAUUGGAGGAAAUCAUUCCCACUAAAAAUCCAAGCAGCCGCAAUGCUAGAUUAUAACAGAAAAUGUCUCUCACCAUCCACUUUAAAUGUUAACCCCACGCACCCAAAGUCACAGCAAUGACCAAAUCCUGCCCGUGUGAUUUAUAGAAGUAAUCCCAUUUACUUCAGGGAAACCACCUACUUGACUAAGAAGAAGAUGAUAGCAGAAAAACUGUAUGGAAAGUAGGCAAGGGACUCAGCUACAAGCCAGAAGAAAGAUAUGAUCUUGCUGUGCUAUUUUAGUUAAAAAAUAUUGGUAUGGAAGAACAAGCUGUUUUAGCACCAGAAAACAGUACCUUACCAUAAAUGAGCACUUUGUCUCAAAAAAUUAAAAAAAAACAAAACAUCUGAGCUAAAGUACGAAGACUGAGAAGACAAAAUGUCCAUACUAAAGGGCUCAGUCACACCUGGGGAAAUGAUGAGCUAUAUCAUACAUAUCUCUUGGAGCAGUGCCACACGCUGUGGCAAUGGCUAUUUUACAUAGUUUUCUAGAUUAUGAAGAGUAUGCUAUGGGAAAAAAUUGUGUGUGGCUUGAAAUUUUCCGUGAUUAGUUAUUGUUUUUUGUAAUGAAAAAUUUCAACCAAAAUGCUCUCAGAGUCAUUUUCUAAUACAGGGGCAGAAGCACGGGGAGUUUUGGUGGAAAUUUUUCAACUAGUUCUACUAACAAUCUGUGACACAGGAAAAGGGAUAUGAUAAAGGUGUGGAGGUGGGUGGCAAUUGCUUCCCAAUACUUUGUUCUUGUAUAACAGUCACUUUGUGUAUCAGGAGUUACUUCGCCACAAGACCAGAAGCAACUUCCUUUAUAAGCUGUUAUUGCAUAUGAAGAUCUGAUGCCAGGAAAUGUAAAGUAACUGCCUCUUUAGGUUCAUUAUACCUGCAGACUUGACAAUGUGUCCCUUCUGGCCUAGUGGCAAAGAGAAUUUUGUAAGUUUACAUUUGAGAGACUGGGUUGGCAGUUACAUGCUACAGUUUAGGUUGAUAGUAUUUGCUAACCAAAUGCUAGGGAAAAGCCUCCAUGUUUACCGGUUAGCACUAAACAAAAGAGAGAAACUCUAAUUUAAACAAAGCACUUAACAGAUAUACAAAAUGGGAGGCUGGUGAGUGGUGCAGACUACCCUAUGCCAGCAGAGCUUUUUUUACUCUUCCCCCCACCCAGCACAAGACAUUUUAGCUCCAAGAUGGGGAAAAGGCUCAAAUCUUACCACUAUGAAUAUGAUAUUUUAUGCACAAAGUAGUAAGGUCUGAGAUUUCUCAAAUGUACAGUCUCAAGCUCAAAGCUGAUCCUCAACUAAAUUAUAAUAAUUUCUAUCCUUAUAGUUGAGAUACAAGAGAUUGGGCUGAAAGUGUGAACUCAGUGCAAUAUUUUACUCUGUUUGAAUGGUGCUAUGUCAUUUGACAACGUAAAGGAACCUGCACUACAAUUUACAUUAUUACAAGUAAAAUAUCUUCUACAAAAUAUACCAGUCACCAUACGCAUCUUACAUCAUUCUUUAAAGUAUGGUUCUGCUCAAAAAAGUGACUUUCUAGAACUGGUAUCAUGAGGUUUCUUUUGCUGAUUUCCAGAUAAAAUCUGAUCAGAUUGCAAAGAAAACCCAUCUUUUUCUGACAGUCAGUCCUGCAAACUCAACCUAAGAUCUGAAAGCCAAGCUGGGUUCUUCCUGGCAUAUGCAUCACCAACAACAAGGACACUGCAAUCUUAACUUAGACAACAAUUCUGUUGAUUAUGUAAAAAAUAUAAUGGAAUCUAAAUUGCUCUCGCCUAGAACUGAUAGAAGUAAACAGUAGCAAAUAUUUAUAUUAGUCAUUGGUCAUCAGAUAUUACUGAAUACACAUGGGAAGAGAGGAUUAUCUAGCAGAGUUAGUCAAAAGUAAGAAUUUCUAUUCCGUGGGAAAUUCUGAAAGAAAAUUUCAUUCCUUUUCCGAACGAAAAACAAGUUUUGAAUUUUCUCACUAAAAAGGAAAAGAGAAAGAAUUUGUAGAUAUAGUUUAAACAUUUUGUUUUGAAAAUUUAAUAAUGAGAUUGACUGUGGGAGCCCAAGUUCGGAAGCUCCCAGCUCAGCCAUGGCUCCUAGGGCUUCUAAGCACCCCAUGGAACUGGAAGCCUAGAAUCCCUGGAAGCCAUGACCAAGCUGGGAGACUCCGUGUUUGGGAUCCAGGGCUCAAAGGUUCUCAAUUCUGUGGUAGGGAGAAGAUCCCUGCAUAGAGCCAGGGUCCCACAGCUUCCAGCUCUUCAGCAGGGAGCUUUGAAGCCCUCAGAUCCCCGAUUUUGAGGUAGUCAGUAUGGCAAGGUGCCCUGAAGUCACAGAUGCUUGAAGCCCAGAGUCCCUGUCUGACGUUGUCUAAUUAAAAUAUAAUCAUGCAAAUCAUGAUUGCUACCACUGUUAUAUAAUUGCAACGAAUCUUAUACGAAGUGUAACACAUGGCCGGAAAGGGUUAAGCAGCUUGCAGGCUAAAUAACCCAGAGCCCACCUUUAAAGUCAUGUUAGAAGGGUAUGCAAAUGGUAAUUAGGGCCAUUCAAUGCUAGAUAGGCUAGAACUGCAAAUGCAAAUUUAUAUUGUUAGAAGUGAUACUAAUUGGAUGUGUUUACUUAUAGAUACUAGCCAUGUAAACAGACAGUUCCUGUCUGUCACUGUUGCUGUUGAUUCAGAGAUCAAAAGGGAAUAUUAACAUUUAGAUGAAUCUUGGGUGCAAUAAUGUCAUUGUCUAUGUGUCUCUAUAAAGUCUGUGAUUAACUGCUUAAUGGAUAAAUCAUCAUAAGGUAAUUCAUGUAGUUAAUUACCGGUGAUGACUGGAAACAGAAGGUUACAUCAAAAGCCUAUUGUUUACCCAGGACUGUAUGGUCAAGUGGAUGCUAGAAAACUAUAUGAAAGACCCUUGGGUCUCAAUCCUUUUUAUCUCAGAUCUGCUUGAUUCUUCAACGCAGGGGAAGCUUAAGCCUCAAGAUUGAGAUUCCAGUGCUGACUGGACUGCCCUGAAUAUAAACAUUGUACUAUAACCUACGGACCAAUUCUGAAAUAACUUUUUGCAACUACAAAGCUCACCAUCUCUGCUAUGAAUCUGAACCUCAAGAAUUAUACUCUUGUCUGUUUGUAUACUGAUCUGUUAACCAAUUCUCUCUUCUUUUUUUAAUAAAUUUUAGUUUCGUUAA